UACGUAGGGUGCAAGCGUUGUCCGGAAUUAUUGGGCGUAAAGAGCUCGUAGGCGGUUCGUCGCGUCGGCUGUGAAAUCCCGAGGCUCAACCUCGGGUCUGCAGUCGAUACGGGCGGACUGGAGUUCGGCAGGGGAGACUGGAAUUCCUGGUGUAGCGGUGGAAUGCGCAGAUAUCAGGAGGAACACCGAUGGCGAAGGCAGUUCUCUGGGCCGUAACUGACGCUGAGGAGCGAAAGCGUGGGGAGCGAACAGG
rnacentral:rRNA from 1 species